CCCGCACAAGCGGUGGAGCAUGUGGUUUAAUUCGAUGAUACGCGAGGAACCUUACCUGGGCUCAAAUGUAUGUUGACGUAUUCUGAAAGGGAUACUUCUUCGGACAAUAUACAAGGUGCUGCAUGGUUGUCGUCAGCUCGUGCCGUGAGGUGUCGGGUUAAGUCCCAUAACGAGCGCAACCCCUAUCAUUAGUUGCCAUCAGGUCAAGCUGGGGACUCUAAUGAAACUGCCUACGCAAGUAGUGAGGAAGGUGGGGAUGACGUCAAAUCAGCACGGCCCUUACGUCCAGGGCUACACACGUGCUACAAUGGCCGAUACAGAGGGCAGCUACCUGGUGACAGGAUGCAAAUCUCCAAAGUCGGUCUCAGUUCGGAUCGGAGUCUGCAACCCGACUCCGUGAAGUUGGAUUCGCUAGUAAUCGCGCAUCAGCCAUGGCGCGGUGAAUACGUUCCCGGGCCUU
rnacentral:rRNA from 1 species